CAUAGUAACGGCGAGUGAACUGGAAAAAGCCCAGCGCUAAAAUGUGUUGUUCAUGCAACACAAGGUGUAGCGUAUAGAAUUUAUUUUCUUAUGCCGUUUUUGAUUUAAGUCUUCUAUGACUGGGGCUCCAUAGAAGGUUAUAGACCUGUCCAAUCAUUAACGGCUUUGGACGAUAAUUUCUUUGAGUCGGGUUGUUUGGGAACGCAGCCCGAAGUAGGUGGUAAAUUUCAUCUAAGGCUAAAUAUGACCACAAAACCGAUAGCAAACAAGUACCGUGAGGGAAAGUUGCAAAGCACUUUGAAGAGAGAGUUUAAGAGGACGUGAAACCGAUAAGAUCGAAACGGAGAGAGGCAACAAAUAAUGCUUGCAUUCAACUGUUAUUGUGCGCGCUGUUGGAUUUAGUAAUCUCGUUUAGAGUUACUGGUUUUUCUAGUGUGCAAAAUGGCAUUGCAUUUGCAAGUGUAUUGUGCUAAAGCGUGUAAUUCAGUUGUUGAAAAUUUGUUAAGAGGACUUCUUCGGAAGAACCCUUGUCAAAUAGACUGCAGUUUGAGUUGCGCGUAAACAGUUUGGCCUACGAGCAAUAGGGCUGUUGUAGUUGCUGUCAAUGGGGAUCGCUUGCGAUACUUAUUGUCUGGCGGUUGCAAUGAUUUUGUUGUUCUCAAACCGUCUUUAGUAUAAAAGUUGUUCAUCUCUCCGACCCGUCUUGAAACACGGACCAAGGAGUUUAUCGUUUAUGCAAGUCAUUGAGUUUUUAAAACUUAAAGGCGAAAUGAAAGUAAAGAAGCUGCAAAGUUUUUAUAUGUGAUCUUGGCCGUUUGCGGUUAAGAGCAGCAUAUCCCCGUCUUGACCGCUUGCGGUAGGGCGGAGGUAGAGCGUUAGCGAUUAGACCCGAAAGAUGGUGAACUAUGCUUGAACAGGAUGAAGCCAGAGGAAACUCUGGUGGAAGUCCGAAGCGAUUCUGACGUGCAAAUCGAUCGUCUGA
rnacentral:rRNA from 1 species